rnacentral:rRNA from 1 species
UAAUACAGAGGUCCCAAGCGUUGUUCGGAUUCACUGGGCGUAAAGGGUGCGUAGGUGGUUGGGUAAGUCUGGUGUGAAAUCUCCGAGCUCAACUCGGAAACUGCAUCGGAUACUAUUCGGCUAGAGGAUUGGAGGGGGGACUGGAAUACUUGGUGUAGCAGUGAAAUGCGUAGAUAUCAAGUGGAACACCAGUGGCGAAGGCGAGUCCCUGGACAAUUCCUGACACUGAGGCACGAAAGCUAGGGGAGCAAACGGG